AAACAGCACCGAAUGGAUAGGCUAUCCUCAGGUGCUCGUGGAAGCAAUAAUGGUUAUUUUUUCUUUCGAGUGAGCCUGCAAGGAGUUUGGCGAAAGGGAAUCCGGUACUCAUUCCGGAACCUGGACAUGAGGAGUAGUGUUGCUUUAUGCAUCACAUAGCCGCAAGGCAUUACCAUCCUGGAGAAUCCAACCAGAGAGCCGGGAAGAGUUGUCUUUUCUGCUUAAGGGGAAGAGGGCCUUGUGAACUGGGUCGGUCAGAGAGAGGGUCUUUUCCCCGAAUAGCACCGCGGUUCUUGCGGAGU
rnacentral:rRNA from 1 species